AAUAUGAUGAUGAUGAUCUUUUGGACUGAUGACUUAAUCAUUAUAUUAAGCAAUAAAGAGUGUUGUAAAAUAUUACAGAGAUGCUGUCAGUCACAUUUAAGAGACUGGAUUAGGCCGAUUUAUGCUUUUCCUUGGUAUAGAUUUCUUUCAGUCCAAAAGAAAAAUGUUAACAAGUAGCUGAAACGUAUCAUUAUACAGGACUGUAAAUUUUGUGCACAUUUUGUGCAGCACAUCACCACAAUACUUGUGCGAGCCAACAGAAAAGCAGCAGGUAACCGUUCAGCAUGUGUUAAGAUAUUUCAGAGGUACAGCAAACAAUGAGCUGUGUUUUAAGAACAGCAACAGUGAGAAGCUCUAGUAGCAGAUUGACGCUAAAUGGGGAGCAAUUGUAUUGUGUGAUUGGUCUGGAUUCCAUCUAAUCAGCUGUCCUUGCCUCUCUUUUAAGGUCCAUGAAGGCAGUCUGCAGCCUUCAACUCUAAAGGAGAAGUUAUAGUAGUAUAGUAUAUGCGAAAUCUGAAGGAUCAAAAAGACUGGAAAAAAAUAGAAAAACCUGUGAAAUUACAGGUCAAACUUCUCUUUUAUGGAAACCAGCAUCACUCCACCCUUUUUCUGAGUCUAAUGUCAUCCUGUGUUUGUCCGUAAAUAUAAAAAGGUUGCUGUUAACCAAAAGGAUCACAAAUCCACUCACUGCCCAGAUCACCUUUCAAGCAAAGACACCUUCUAGACAAAAGAAAAAGAAAAACAUCAUCAUCAUCAUGAUUGCACACCUUUGCUUCAUUCUGCUUUUUGUUGCUUCUUCACAUGGACAAACAAGCACAAAUGCAUCAACAUCAGAGUUCCCCACAAAUACAACAGCUGAACCAAUCACUGAUGCAACAAUAGCUGGACCAAUCACUGAUGCAACAAUAGCUGGACCAAUCACUGAUGCAACAAUAGCUGGACCAAUCACUGAUGCAACGAUAGCUGGACCAAUCACUAAUGCAACGAUGGUUGCUGGACCAAUCACUAAUGCAACGAUAGCUGGACCAAUCACUAAUACAACGAUGGUUGCUGGACCAGCAACUAGUGGACUGAUUACCAGUGCACCAAGUGGAAUAACCACAGUGACAACUGGAACACCAACCACCACUAGCACAUCCUCACCAACCACCACUAGCACAUCCUCACCAACCACCACUAGCACAUCCUCACCAACCACCACUGGUACAUCAAAACCAAGCACCUCCUUCACCAAGGCACCAACAACUUCUUCUGCAUUUCCUCACAAAAUCAGCCUCUUCUUGGCCUUUGUGGCAACAUUGACAGAUUUUGUUUCUGUAUGCCGCUGAUCUAACAUGAUUUAAAGGCAAGGAAAGAAGGACACCAUGGCUCUUUAAUGGUGUUCUUAGUCUGUAUAAUGAAAGCUUGUGAAUGCUUAUCUAUGUACACAAAGUGUAAGUUCUAUGCUAGUUAAGUUCUUGAUAUCCAUUGAUCCUGGACAUCGGGGUUUCUUCAUGAUCAUCUUUUACAAUAACUAAGACCCCUAAUGUAAUCGUUUUUCUUUAUUUAAGAUAUAUAUUUAUUUAUAUUUCUAUGAUUAUGUUUGUCUCAACUACUCAAAAACUAUGAAAUUGAAUUACUGCAGCUUCUUUAUGAUUUAAACUGUGAAAUAUUCUGCCAAGCUACUGAAUUAAAAGUGAAACAGGUA